GACGAAUGCUGGCGGCAGGCCUAACACAUGCAAGUCGAACGCUCCGCAAGGGGAGUGGCGCACGGGUGAGUAACGCGUGGGAAUAUGCCCUUCGGUUCGGAAUAACACAGGGAAACUUGUGCUAAUACCGGAUACGAUCUACGGAUGAAAGAUUUAUCGCCGAGGGAGUAGCCCGCGUAGGAUUAGCUAGUUGGUGAGGUAAUGGCUCACCAAGGCGACGAUCCUUAGCUGGUCUGAGAGGAUGAUCAGCCACACUGGGACUGAGACACGGCCCAGACUCCUACGGGAGGCAGCAGUGGGGAAUAUUGGACAAUGGGCGAAAGCCUGAUCCAGCCAUGCCGCGUGAGUGACGAAGGCCUUAGGGUUGUAAAGCUCUUUCGCCAGGGAAGAUAAUGACGGUACCUGGAAAAGAAGCCUCGGCUAACUCCGUGCCAGCCGCCGCAGUAAGAC
rnacentral:rRNA from 1 species